rnacentral:lncRNA from 1 species
UGCACCGGAGAUGAGCAGGGAAACAGCACUGAGUGGGGGAAAAGCCCCCACCGUGGAAGGAGUGAUAAAGAGAAAGGCAGGGACUUCAAAGCAGUUGGAAACAAGUGGGGUGUGAACUGGGGCCCAGCUCGUGCCCUGAGCGAGUGGUGGGGCUGAUGGCAACACAGGGCCAUAGCAGCAGCUGCAGCUCCUCAGUCCUCCUGCAGUCCCCCUGUCAGGAUAACUCUUCUCUCCCUCCAUCCAUUCAGGAGUUGGACUCCAGGAUCCUUACGGGUCCCUCACCCAUGACACUCCCCCAUACAGAACAGUCAAAGACCACAACAUCUGCUCCAUGAGGUGCAGCCCAGGAGCUAUUCCUCCCUGCGAGGCUGUGGGCAUUACUGCUGGCAUCAUCUGUCCCAUCACAAAGGGACAGCUUACAUCACCCCCCCGAGUAGCUGCAGAGAACCACGAAAGGAUGGGAGAUGAGACGGCUCCCAGGGUGAUUUGCUAUCAUGCCCUCUGAGAGCUGCUGAAACAUGGGAGCUGCAGGAAGCAGCAGUGAUGUAACCACCAUCUCGGUAGCAGCAGAGCAGGAGGGAUGGAGCAGAAGCCCUUUGCCAGCCAGGAUGGACCAUUGGCAGAACCACCUCCUUCCCUAAUUUGCUCACCUGGAGCACGUGCCCGGACCUCCAGGAGCUGUGUGGGACGAGACAGCUCUGUGCUGUGCAACAAACAUCAGCAGAGCUGCGGAGCGCUUCCACUCCCAGCUCCACCACCCCCUGAUUGACACCCUGUAAUAAAGAGAUUUACC